UACGGGGGGAGCAAGCGUUGUUCGGAUUUACUGGGCGUAAAGGGCGCGUAGGCGGCGCGGUAAGUCACUUGUGAAAUCUCUGAGCUUAACUCAGAACGGCCAAGUGAUACUGCAGUGCUAGAGUGUGGAAGGGGCAAUCGGAAAUUCUUGGUGUAGCGGUGGAAUGCGCAGAUAUCAGGAGGAACACCAGUGGCGAAGGCAGGCUCUGGGACGGUAACUGACGCUGAGACGAACGAAGCGUGGGGAGCAAACAGGAUUAGA
rnacentral:rRNA from 1 species